CCUACGGGUGGCAGCAGUGAGGAAUAUUGGUCAAUGGACGCGAGUCUGAACCAGCCAAGUAGCGUGAAGGAUGACUGCCCUAUGGGUUGUAAACUUCUUUUAUAUGGGAAUAAAAUGUUCCACGUGUGGGAUUUUGUAUGUACCAUAUGAAUAAGGAUCGGCUAACUCCGUGCCAGCAGCCGCGGUAAUACGGAGGAUCCGAGCGUUAUCCGGAUUUAUUGGGUUUAAAGGGAGCGUAGGUGGAUUGUUAAGUCAGUUGUGAAAGUUUGCGGCUCAACCGUAAAAUUGCAGUUGAAACUGGCAGUCUUGAGUACAGUAGAGGUGGGCGGAAUUCGUGGUGUAGCGGUGAAAUGCUUAGAUAUCACGAAGAACUCCGAUUGCGAAGGCAGUUCACUGGACUGCAACUGACACUGAGGCCCGAAAGUGUGGGUAUCAAACAGGAUUAGAGACCCCAGUAGUC
rnacentral:rRNA from 1 species